rnacentral:misc_RNA from 1 species
GAUGAAGAACGUAGCGAAAUGCGAUAAGUAAUGUGAAUUGCAGAAUUCAGUGAAUCAUCGAGUCUUUGAACGCACAUUGCGCCCCCUGGUAUUCCGGGCGGCAUGCCUGUCCGAGCGUCAUUGCUGCCCUCAAGCACGGCUUGUGUGUUGGGCCCCGUCCCCUCCCCCGGGGACGGGCCCGAAAGGCAGCGGCGGCACCGCGUCCGAUCCUCGAGCGUAUGGGGCUUUGUCACCCGCUCUGUAGGCCCGGCCGGCGCCAGCCGACACCCAACUUUUAUUUCUAAGGUUGACCUCGGAUCAGGUAGGGAUACCCGCUGAACUUAAGCAUAUCAAUAAGCGGAGGA